rnacentral:rRNA from 1 species
AGAGUUUGAUUCCUGGCUCAGGACGAACGCUGGCGGCGUGCCUAAUACAUGCAAGUUGAACGCUUGAUUUUCACCGAAGCUUGCUUCACCGAAAAUCAAGAGUAGCGAACGGGUGAGUAACGCGUGGGUAACCUACCUAUCAGCGGGGGAUAACUAUUGGAAACGAUAGCUAAUACCGCAUAACAAUGUUGGAUGCAUAUUCGACAUUUGAAAGUACCAACUGGUACACUGAGAGAUGGACCCGCGUUGUAUUAGCUAGUUGGUAGUGUAAUGGACUACCAAGGCGAUGAUACAUAGCCGACCUGAGAGGGUGAUCGGCCACAUUGGGACUGAGACACGGCCCAAACUCCUACGGGAGGCAGCAGUAGGGAAUCUUCGGCAAUGGACGAAAGUCUGACCGAGCAACGCCGCGUGAGUGAAGAAGGUUUUCGGAUCGUAAAACUCUGUUGUUAGAGAAGAACGUUGCAUAGAGUGGAAAAUUAUGCAAGUGACGGUAUCUAACCAGAAAGGGACGGCUAACUACGUGCCAGCAGCCGCGGUAAUACGUAGGUCCCGAGCGUUGUCCGGAUUUAUUGGGCGUAAAGCGAGCGCAGGUGGUUUAAUAAGUCUGAUGUAAAAGGCAGUGGCUCAACCAUUGUGUGCAUUGGAAACUGUUAGACUUGAGUGCAGUAGAGGAGAGUGGAAUUCCAUGUGUAGCGGUGAAAUGCGUAGAUAUAUGGAGGAACACCGGUGGCGAAAGCGGCUCUCUGGACUGUCACUGACACUGAGGCUCGAAAGCGUGGGUAGCAAACAGGAUUAGAUACCCUGCUAGUCCACGCCGUAAACGAUGAGUGCUAGUUGUUUGGGGCUAUCCAGCCCUAAGUGACGCAGCAAACGCAUUAAGCACUCCGCCUGGGGGAGUACGACCGCAAGGUUGAAACUCAAAGGAAUUGACGGGGGACCCGCACAAGCGGUGGAGCAUGUGCUUAAUUCGAGCACGCGAAGAACCUUACCAGUCUGACAUACUCGUGCUAUCUAGAGAUAGAAGGUCUCGGGAACCGGAUACAGUGUGCAUGGUGUCGUCAGCUCUGUCUGAAAUGUGGUUAGUCCGCCACGAGCGCCACCCCUAUGGUAGCUUGCAUCAUUAAAGGUUGGCACCUCUCUACGGAAACUUGGC